UAGGGAAUCUUCCACAAUGGACGCAAGUCUGAUGGAGCAACGCCGCGUGAGUGAAGAAGGUUUUCGGAUCGUAAAGCUCUGUUUUUGGUGAAGAAGGAUAGAGGUAGUAACUGGCCUUUAUUUGACGGUAAUCAACCAGAAAGUCACGGCUAACUACGUGCCAGCAGCCGCGGUAAUACGUAGGUGGCAAGCGUUGUCCGGAUUUAUUGGGCGUAAAGCGAGCGCAGGCGGAAGAAUAAGUCUGAUGUGAAAGCCCUCGGCUUAACCGAGGAACUGCAUCGGAAACUGUUUUUAUUGAGUGCAGAAGAGGAGGGUGGAAUUCCAUGUGUAGCGGUGGAAUGCGUAGAUAUAUGGAAGAAAACCAGUGGCGAAGGCGACUCUCUGGUCUGCAACUGACGCUGAGGCUCGAAAGCAUGGGUAGCGAACAGG
rnacentral:rRNA from 1 species